UAGACUAUACUUUCAGGGAUCAUUUCUGUAGUUUCUGACUUGAGAAAUGCUGUGAUAUUCCCUUCUGAACAUGAAGUGGAUGGAGGAUAAUUUUAUGAACUGCAUUUCACAGUGCAUUGAACUACGCAUAACUGUGCAUGUGAUGAAUAACCCUAACUUAUCUGA
rnacentral:snoRNA from 1 species